rnacentral:rRNA from 1 species
CAGUAGCCGCGGUAAUACGGAGGGGGCUAGCGUUGUUCGGAAUUACUGGGCGUAAAGCGCACGUAGGCGGCUGUGUAAGUCAGAGGUGAAAGCCCGGGGCUCAACCCCGGAAUAGCCUUUGAGACUGCAUAGCUUGAACACGGGAGAGGUGAGUGGAAUUCCGAGUGUAGAGGUGAAAUUCGUAGAUAUUCGGAAGAACACCAGUGGCGAAGGCGGCUCACUGGACCGUUGUUGACGCCGAGGUGCGAAAGCGUGGGGAGCAAACAGGAUUAGAUACCCGCGUAGUCCCUGUCUCUUAUAA